UAAAACGACGGGCGUACCUGCCACAGUAAAGUAACGAUCGUCACACCAGUGGCCCACCUUCUGCGAAGCAGGACGUUGCUAUUUGCUGCCAGGAUGGACUUCAGGAUCUUGCUUGUCGCACUAAUGUGCUUUUUGAGUGCUACGAUGCAGUUUGCGGCAGCCGAUCACGCGUGUAGCGGCGACGAACUCCACAACAAUUGCAUCAACCAGUGCGGCCGCCAGUUCCUUACGAGGGAACAAUUCAACAACAAGUGCAUGCCUGCAUGCCAGAAGGCGGGCAAUUGCAUUGUCCUGUAGGAAAUAAACGGGAAUAAAGCAGGGAUCCUUAACUUACCUCAUAAGGGCAUCAUAACGUUAUCA